UUAGACCAACGCCUUGUUGGCAGGUAGAGUUGACAAUUCUGGAACCAACACCUUCUUAAGUCAAUGUUUGUUUGGAACUAAUGUACAGGUUGACAUCUAUUACUCAGCUUGUUCAUCAUGGAUUGAUCUAUGUGCCCAUUGGAUACACCUUUGGUGCUGGCAUGUUUGAGAUGAAUGAGGUGAAGGGUGGUUCUCCAUAUGGAUCAGGAACAUUGGAUGGUGAGGAUGGCUUAAGAGACCCAAGUGAGUUAGAAUUGGCUCAAGCUUUCCAUCAAGGGAAGUACCUUGCAGCCAUUGCCAAGAAGCUCAAGGGAUCUUAGUGACUUUUAUUUUCAAUAUUGUCAGACAAAAUAAAAUGUUUGUAGCAUAUGAAAACAAAAAUAUUGAUUGAAUACAAUUGUUGUCACUUGUCAUGUGUAUCAGCAUACUUCAAUGUCUAGCUUAUUUUCAAAAAACAAGAAUUGACUAUUGGCUUAUUGCUAGUAUUUUCAAUGGGUUCAAAGUUUUUAGCAAAAUAUAAACUUGAAGCUUGAUGCUAAUCAUAGUUUUUUUGAAGUUCCAAUCAUAGUUGAUCAACCAUGAUUUUUUUAUCGGCAAUUAUUAAUAUGUUAGUUGUUAGUAUAUUAAUAUUUUGUUGUGGGUGAGACACAUUCAUAAUUAUUUAAGUAAUUUGGCAAAGACUACACAUUCAUUUAUAUCUAGUACUCUAGGAGAGACAUUCUAAUUUAAACUAUAUUUCAUCUUAGCACAUAGUUGGAAGGAUAUGAAUCAUAUCAAUAAGUGUAGUCCUUCACGUUUGACUAAAAUAAUUGACAGAAUAAAAUUUCAAAGACUAAACAUAUAAUGGAUAAAUGUUACUCUUUCUUUUCCACAUAUAUAGUGUCCAACUUACUGUUCCCAUUAAUUGUUCAUUUUUAAUUAAUCAUAUGAAUAAUUAAGGCCUGAAAAGUAAAAUUGGCUCUUGCCCAACAUCCUACAUUAUUUGGCAAAGACUUUAUUCUUACUUUAGACUUACCUCUACUAUUCAUAAUGAAGUAAAGACCCAUUUGUCAAUUCAUGCAUAUUUGUUACGGAUGGACAACAAGAAAAUCCAUUUGUGAAUGGCUCUUUGGUUUGUCACAGUUUGGACUCUUUGACAUAUUAGGAACAAAUGUAUUUUUGAGAACAAGCGUUUUCACUUUGAUGAGAUGAUGAAGCUUAUUUUGCUACAUUCUUGGAGUCUUAUCAAUGCCCGCUUCCUUUCUUUUCUUUUUCUCUAGUUGCUUGGUUGAGGAACCCUUCAAAUGGUAUUCUUCCUUAUUAUUUAUAGGGAUUUAGUGGAUAAGAGUACCACUUGUUCUCCUAACUUUUCUUUAUCUCUAUAUUAAUAUUCUUAUUACUAAUAAAAAAAAAACACGGUGAGUAGAUUGUUUCCUCUCUUUUGUUAGGCAAUAAUAUGAUAUAAGCCAUAUUCCAAAUAAAUGAUAUUAAAGUAAAAAUAGAAAAAAUAAUGAAUAUCAAACUUUAUUAACCUUCCUAAUUAAGCACUUUAUCUAUGUAACAAGUUUAAAAAGCAAGUCAUACCCAACCUAAUCCAAAUCCGCUAACUCCAUUUCUUAUACAAGUUAGGCCCAAAUUGCACCCAAAACCAAUUAUUCUGCUUCUUAAUAUUCUGCCUAAAUUAUAUUUAAAUUGUUAGAGCAUUAUCUUUGAAUUUAUCCAUAAUUUAAUUUAUCUAUUAAGUAUUAUUUGAAUCAUUAUGAUCUUAUAUUUAUAACAAUUUUUACUAUAUAAUAAAUUAAUUAGAAUAAUUCUAGUUUUGUUUUAACUCUAUAUAAAACAGUGACCCAAUACUGAAUAUUGAUAUAAUUGUAUACGAUUUUGUCUUCUAGUUGUCAUAACUUUGGGAAUAAUCAAAUAAUCAACGUCAACUAAUUAACGUUAUGCUCAGAUACGUAUUGCACCUAAAGUCCUUUUGUCCUUUUCAAAUCAGAACAUUUCAUGCAGGUCAAACAUUUAGAAUGACAACACUAUAGGUAUAAAAAAAGAUUUAAAGGGAGGGCCUACUAUAUAUAUAUAUAUAUGGAAGAAUCUAACAUUUGUAUACAUCAACGUUCCUUCAAGGAAUUUAAGUGAUAUUUUGGUGUGUGAAUAGACUGAAAAAUCAGAAAAAGAAGGAACAUUUUCAAGAUCUGGAAUAAAAACUUGCAUUACAAGAUAGGAAAGACAUGCCUUGUUAUUGAUUAGCCAAAACAAGGAAAAAGAAAAGUUAAGUAUAAAAGUAAAGAUAUAUGAAGAGGAGUCAUAAUAUACAUAUCCUUUAUUAGCCUUAGAAAUCACAAUGAUGCUGCAUGUCAUUUUGUUUCCUACUUUAUGAAAUUCCUUUCAUGUAUAUAUCUUCUUAUGUAUUUAGUUACUCCACCUUUAUAAAGUAAAACUAAGAAUUAUGAACCAUGGAGUAGUAAUGAUCCUGAUAUGCAUGAAUGUGUCGUCUAAUCAAGAGAUGCUAGCAAUUUGAUUUUUAAUUACUAAAGUGAUACCUUUUCAUGAUUAGUCACUUCUCAUGCUUACAUGGAUUCUUUAGCUUUAAGGUUGUUUCUCAUUUGAUUACUUAAAUCAUUAUUUAGCCCUAUCAAUGGUCCACCGUUAUUGUAUCAGCUUUACUGCAGAAAGAAUACGAUGAUAUAGGGAGUCAUAAGGUGAUCUGAUGGUGAAGAUGGUGGUUGUAAGGAAUAGAGUGCAGGAGGUUGUGGUUUUCGAGUCCCACCAUUAACAAAAAGGAGUUAUAAGGUGGUUAGAUGAUAGGGUGUAAGUAAGAGUUUGAGAGUGGAGUCUCACCCACAGCAAAAUACUAACAUAAUAACACCUUACAUACUAACAAUUUCCGAUAAAAAAAAAACUGCCAAAAAUAGCAAUCUACAAUUCUACAUAUAUACAUGAAGUAAAAUAUGGAAGGAAAGUAAAACAGUUUAUUUUGAAUGAACUUAUAGAAAAUUGAUUUUGUUAUCCAAAAUUUUACAAGGACGGAGCACAUUAAUUCACUGCCAAGACAAUGAUUUGAGAUAACAAAAAAAAAAAGACAAAGAUUUGAUGCGUGCUUGAAAAACCAUGCUCUUGUGCCCUGACUAAUAAUUAAUCUAUGAACACUAUUCGACAAAUAAACAAAAAGUAGGUUACCUAAAAUUAAAAUCAAAUGAAUGUUAUGAACUUAUAACAUAAUCCACUUUAUUUUGUCAACCCAAAAAAAAUAAAGUUGGUGCGACACCUUUAAUGAUACAAAAUAUAUAAGGACAUAUAUAUANNNNNNNNNNNNNNNNNNNNNNNNNNNNNNNNNNNNNNNNNNNNNNNNNNNNNNNNNNNNNNNNNNNNNNNNNNNNNNNNNNNNNNNNNNNNNNNNNNNNUAUAUAUAUAUGUAUUCCCUUGCAGUGGUCACUAAUCAUGUGCUAGGGUACAUCAUUAUUAUUUUGCAUGGUCCAUCUUUGAAGAGCUACUACCCAUUUGUACAAGGAAAAAGUUUAUUACACACUAGUUUUGUCUAAGUCACUUUUUAAAGUAGGGUCAACAAAUACUUCACCAAUCUUGGCCUCAAAUUUGCUUCUACAUAUAGUUUAUAUGGUCAUUAUAAUAGUUUUCCACUGGAAGAGUCACUUUGUCGUGUUAAUUUCUCUAGCUGCUGAUGAAUGCGCCUCCAAAUGUUGGAGUCCAGAAAUCAACACUUGUCUCAUUAACUACUUGGAAUGUGCUUGAAAUUGGAACCAAACAUAGCCCUCUGCUUCUUAAAUCUUGUUUUGGGCCUUCUGAAUCACUCAGAUUAUCACAUCUCUUCAAAAACAUAGACACAAGUAUUUCAACAUCCACAUUAGAAACUUUACCUUAAAAAAUAUAUAGAUAUUAAAUCCAUCCUAUAUAUAUAUAUAUGAGGUAUAUAAAUUUAGAAAACUUUUUUAUAUCAGAAUAUGAAGAGAAAAUUAUCAUUUAUCAUUAGAUCUAAUUAUAUGAACAUUUGAGAUUACAAUAAAAGUCUUCUGACUUUUUUUAAGUGGUAAUAUAAUUUUUCUUAAAUGGUGGUAUGACUAUGAAAUAAUUAUUAACCCUAACAGUGUAUGUAUGUUUUUUGAGGCUAGCUUUGAGCAUAUGAUAGUGCUGUAUAUCCCUGGAUCCUUUCUAAAAGGUGCAGAACCUGCUCACUUUGAUGCUCAGCUUUUCCUUUUCUAAUAAAAUUUUAUUUUACUUAUAAAAAAACAACACAUGGAUGUUUGUACCAUCAAAUCUGUAUAAAAGCUCCAUUUUCUCUAUAUUUAUAGUGUUAUACAUAUGAUUAUUUUGUAAAUUAUUAUAAUUUCUAAGUAGGUACAAAAGGUAGUUGAGAAAGAUAAAUGCUUUAUAUAGGUAUAUUAUAAUAAGAUUUUUGUAAUACCUGUUGGUGCUGAAUGUGAGCACCGUUUUUAAGAUAUGAAGUGUUCAAAACCUGAAAUUAAGUAAUAAUAGAAAGUAUGAGUAAGUACUAACUCUUUGAUUUACCUUAAAAAAUAAAAGUAUUAUUUCAUUAUAGCAGAUAAAAGUGUAAUUGUUUUCUUAUUUUGCUUUUUAAGGACUUCUUUAUCCAAAGAUGAUUCUCAUUCAGAAAAGUAUAUAUAUAUAUAUAUAUAUAUANNNNNNNNNNNNNNNNNNNNNNNNNNNNNNNNNNNNNNNNNNNNNNNNNNNNNNNNNNNNNNNNNNNNNNNNNNNNNNNNNNNNNNNNNNNNNNNNNNNNUUUAAUUUUAUAGAUCUUUUUGGUUUAAUUUUAUAGAUCUUUUUGGUUUAAUUUUAUAGAUCUUUUUGGUUUAAUUUUAUAGAUCUUUUUGGUUUAAUUUUAUAGAUCUUUUUGGUUUAAUUUUAUAGAUCUUUUUGGUUUAAUUUUAUAGAUCUUUUUGGUUUAAUUUUAUAGAUCUUUUUGGUUUAAUUUUAAGCGUUCAAUGAGGUGAGUCCUAGUUUUUAAAGUGGGCCCACUAAUCAAUUAUGGGUGGCAUUGGACAAAAAAGCCCACCAGUACCCAAUCUAGUACUAGCUUGACCCAUCUCUUAAGCUUGACUUCACCAAGACAAAUAUUUUUUCUAAUGUUCUUUGCUAUAGGCACUUCUUGGCAAGUUUUUAUAUCUCACUAUUUUUGGCUUGAUAUUUGGUAUAUUAUUCAAUAACUAAGCUUAUAUAUAUCUAUCCCAAUGGAAUCACAUUAUAAGCUACCUUAGGGUUUGUUUGGGAGUUGAAUUUUGGAGGGGAAGGAAGGGAAAAGGAAGGGAAAAGGAAGGCUUGAGAGCCAUGAAAUACACUUGUGAGAUGACUCUCAAGCCUUUCCUUUCCCUUCCUUCCCCUCCAAAAUCCAACUCCCAAACAAGCCCUAAGAGUCCAUCAUUUGAAGGCUUUCUCUAGUAUUUUUCUUUUACAUCUUCUGAUUGGGCAUGUUGUUUUGAUACCAAAAAAUAUCUCAUUGGGCUUUGUGUAUUUCUCGGAAAACCAAGAAACAAAACAUAUUGAGUAUGUCUUCCUCAAAAGCAGACUAUCGAGCCUUAGGUAGUUUAGUGUGUAAGAUCCAUUAGUUGCACUAUUUGUUUUUUGAUUUGCAGGUUGUCUUCUAUUCUCCUACAUCCAUUUAUUGUAAUAAUAGAUAAGCAAUAUUCUAGUAUUACAAUCCAAAUUUUAAUGAAAGAAUAAAGCAUAUUGAGAUUGAUUGAUAAGAGCCUUGUUCAUUUGUUAUUCAUUCCAACUUCGGCUCAAUUGGUGGAUGCCUUUACUUAGCUACUACAUGCUAAAUCAUUUCACCAUUUUCUAUCCAAGUUGUGUCUCUGUGAUCUUCAUCGUCCAACUUAACGAGAUGUUAGAGAUUGUUAGCUUUAGUUAUUUCUUAUUGGGCAAGUUAGUUGUAAAGUUGCCAAAAUAGGAAAGUAGAUAUAGUUAAGUUGAGUAGCUAGUUAUAGUUGGUUAGGUGGGCUUUGUUUUCAAGCUACUUUGCUUGAGUAUAAGUGGAGUCUUUUUGUUUUAGAAUAAGAGUAAUGUAACAUCUUCAUCCUUUUGUAACUUAGUUCUCUUGAACAAUUAUUCCACCUUCUUCUUCUCCUUGGUUUCAAAGCUUCCAUUUUCUUCUUUUACCUUAGAGUUCUAAGAAUAUGGAAAAUGUCAUUUAAAAGAUUAAACACAUUGAAUGCAAUAUUAAAGACAUUCUUUGUUCCUUGAUACAUCAUAUGAUACAAUUAAUCAUACAAGUGGAAACAUUCUUUUAAAAAUGAUUCAAACAGAACCAAGAAUAUCCCUAAUUAUAUAAAUGAAAGUGGUAGGAGAGAUAGAGAUGUUUCCACCAUAGUCCAAUUUGAGAGCAUUAAAGAAAUAGAAGUAUAUUAUAAUCAUUCAAUAAAAAAUUGCAUAUUAUUUUCAAUAAACAUUGAACCUGGAUUCAAUUACUCCACUAUAGUGUAAUUUUAUUAGUUGAUCCACCAAUCAUGGAAAAGUCCCCAUCAUCUUGUAGUAAUCGAAAGAUCAAGGUCAACAUAAUAAUUAUUUAUACAAUAAAAAAUAGUAAGGAUAACAACAGCAAUACUAAUUAACUGUAUAAAUUCAAUCACAAUAAUGAAGAAAUAAUUCAACUAUUGAACUAUUGAUACAAUAAACAAAUAGUAUGGAUAACAACAGCAAUUAUAAUUAUUUAUAAAAUAAACUGUUGGACCAGACUGCGACCAGGAGCCUCCAACUAUCAGGGAUUUCCAUUGUUACAUGGGUAUGUGAGACACCACGUCUUGAACCAAAACCUUAAGACAUUAGUUACACGGGUCAUUCCUACUUAUCAAUUCUUUCACUCCUCCACGCAUAUCCAAUAUGGGACUUCACACUUGACUAAACCUAACAUAAACAAAUACUAAUUAACAAUGACAAUAAUGAAGAAAUAAUUAACUUAUCUAACAAGGUAUGACCCUAUAAGAAUUGGUAUUCUGUCAAAGGUACACUCCCAACACUUUCUUUUGGUUUAAGAGAUAGAUUAGAUCAAGCUACCAUCAAUGGCUACUAAAGUUUACAUUGUGUAAGCCAUUAAUUCUUUUCCUCUCUCUCUUUUUUUCCCUUACUUGCUAAUUUCCAUUAUUGUUUUUUUAUGUAUAAAAGUUAAAAUCUAAUCCAUCUCAGACCCUAACCUUUUAUAUUUUUAACCGUUAAAAAAUUAUGUGCAAACCUAAGUUGUUCUUUCUGAGAGCAUAGUGCCACCAAAAUGUUAUUUUAGUGCAUUCAUGAAUCACUUUUAUAUGUUGGCUUAUAGUGAUUCUUGAUCAUUACAUUCUUGAUCCAUAUUUAAACAUUAUAGUUCCUCGUGGAUAUCUAGCUAGCAUCAUAAUACCUAUAAUAAGGGUAUAUAAUAUCCUUCUUGUGAUCUCAUAAUAUGUAUCUGAUAUAUUGAACUUUAUAUUACAUCUUUAGUUACUAUUCUCUACGAGGACAUGUUGCAACCCUAGCUGAAGAGAUUAAAAGGGGGGCUGAUUCUGUGGAAGGUGUAGAAGCAAAGCUGUGGCAGGUUGGAACAAUUUUCAUUUUCAUUUUCAGUUACAAAGUAUAUGUUAAAAUGAUUUCUUUCAUCUCAGAAUAAAUAGUUGAUUUUCUAUAUGUACUUGUUGUAUGACAUGUUUUAAAUUUUACUCCUCAGUCGCAAUUGACAUCGUUAUAAUAUUGUGGUUUUGGAAGCGUCCAUAAUGACAAUUUUGACUGAGUCGAUUUUUCGUAAUUAUUACAUAAUAGCAAUCAGAAUCUAAAACACCAAUUGUAUGUAUGUAUAUACAGGUAGCUGAAACACUAUCUGAAGUGGUACUUGGGAAGAUACAUGCACCAGAAAAGAAGGAUGUUCCAAUUAUUAAACCCAAUGAUCUAACUGAGGCUGAUGGGUUUUUGUUUGGAUUUCCAGCAAGAUAUGGAAUGAUGCCUUCACAAUUUAAGGCAUUUUUUGAUGCAACUGGAGGACUAUGGCGGACACAGGCACUUGCAGGAAAACCUGCUGGUCUCUUUUUCAGCACUUCUUCUCAAGGUGGUGGACAAGAAGAGGUUCCGUGAGUAACUUUUUUUGAUCUAUUUAGAGAUCUAAUAGGGCUUUAUACAAUUAGACCAACGCCUUGUUGGCAGGUAGAGUUGACAAUUCUGGAACCAACACCUUCUUAAGUCAAUGUUUGUUUGGAACUAAUGUACAGGUUGACAUCUAUUACUCAGCUUGUUCAUCAUGGAUUGAUCUAUGUGCCCAUUGGAUACACCUUUGGUGCUGGCAUGUUUGAGAUGAAUGAGGUGAAGGGUGGUUCUCCAUAUGGAUCAGGAACAUUGGAUGGUGAGGAUGGCUUAAGAG
rnacentral:lncRNA from 1 species